CCCACUAUAGUUUAUAAUUAAAACGCUAAAUUGCAAAUUUGGUAAAGGAGUAAUUUCCUAGUGUGU
rnacentral:tRNA from 1 species